UUUUAGCUCACCUGGCCCGAAGGGCCAAGUGAGCUUUUCUCAUCACUUGGCGUCCGUCGUCGGCGUCGUCCGUCGUCGUUAGCUUUUUACAAAAAUCUUCUCCUCUGAAACCACUGGGCCAAAUUUAACCAAACUUGGCCACAAUCAUCAUUAGGGUAUCUAGUUUAAAAAAUGUGUCUGAUGACCCCACCAACUAACCAAGAUGGCUGCCAUGGCUAAAAAUAGAACAUAGGGGUAAAAUGUAGAUUUUGGCUUAUAUGUCUGAAACCAAAGCAUUUAGAGUAAAUCUGACAUAGGGUAAAACUGAUUAUCAGGUCAAGAUCUAUCUGCCCUGAAAUUUUCAGACAAAUCUGACAACCUGUUGUUGGGUUGCUGCCCCUGAAUUGGUAAUUUUAAGGAAAUUUUGCAGUUUUUGGUUAUUAUCUUGAAUAUUAUUAUAGAUAGAGAUAAACUGUAAACAGCAAUAAUGUUCAGCAAAGUAAGAUCUACAAAUAAGUUGUCAUGACCAAAAUUGUCAGUCGACCCCUUUAGGAGUUAUUGCCCUUAAUAGUCAAUUUUUAACAAUUUUUUGUAAAUUUUUGUAAUCUUUUACAAAAAUCUUCUUCUCUGAAAUUACUGAGACAAAUUUAACCAUACUUGGCCAUAAUCAUUAUUAGUGUAUCUAGUUUAAAAAAUAUGUCCGAUGACCCCGCCUUUCAACCAUCAUGGCCGACUUGGUUAAAAAUAGAACAUAGGGGUAAAAUGCAGUUUUUAUACGACCGCAAAAAAAUUUUUGUGGUCGUAUAUUGGUAUGACGUUGGCGUCGUCGUCGUCGUCGUCCGGCGUCGUCCGAAGACACAUUGGUUUUUAGCACUCUAACUUUAGUUUAAGUGAAUGGAUCCUUAUGAAAUUUUACCACAAGGUUCAAUACCACAAAAGGAAGGUUGGGAUUGAUUUUGGGGGUUAUGGUAAUAACAGUAAAGGAAUUAGGGGCCAAAAAGGGGCCAAAAAUAAGCAUUUUUGUAACUUCCAGACAUAACUUGUGUCUUAGUGUAUGGAUCUCUCUGACAUUGUACCACAAGGUUCCAUAUCACUAAAGGAAUGCUGGGAUUGAUUUUGGGGGUAAUUGCCUCCAAAUUUUAGGAAUUAGGGGCCAAAAAAGGGGCAAAAAAACAAGCAUUUUUCUAGUUUCAUGACAAUAACUUGUGUGUAAGUGUAUGGAUCUUUCUGAAAUUGUACUACAAGGUUCCAUAUCACAAAGGGAAAGCUGGAAUUGAGUUUGGGGGUAAUUGCCCAAAACGUUUAGGAAUAAGGGGCCAAAAAGGGGCAAAAAAACAAGUAUUUUUCUAGUUUCCAGACAAUAACUUGUGUUCAAGUGUACGGAUCUCUCUGAAAUUGUACUGCAAGGUACCAUACCACAAAGGGAAGGCUGGGAUUGAUUUUGGGGGUAAUUCCCUCAAAAUUUUAGGAAUUUGGGGCAAAAAAGGGGCAAAAAAACAAGCAUUUUUCUAGUUUCCAGACAAUAACUUGUGUUCAAGUGUACGGAUCUCUCUGAAAUUGUACUGCAAGGUACCAUACCACAAAGGGAAGGCUGGGAUUGAGUUUGGGGGUGAUGAAUCAUAAGGGGGUUCAAAAAAUUUUGGGGGUGUUGGGGAUUUUUUUUUGCUUUUUUUUCUUUAAAAUUUUCCAUUUUAAAUUGGUUAUAUCUGAUUUAUAAUUUACAUAUAAAAGCAAAUAAUAAUGAUAUGGUUUGAAUAGGUAAAUUAAAAAAAUUUAAGUUCUUAGACCACAUUCAUUCUGUGUCAGAAACCUAUGCUGUGUCAAAUAUUUGAUUACAAUCCAAAUUCAGUGCUGUAUCAAGCUUGAAUGUUGUGUCCAUACUUGCCCCAACUGUUCAGGGUUCGACCUCUGCGGUCGUAUCAAGCUGCGCCCCAGCGGAGCAUUUUUUUUUUACAAAAUUGAAUUUAAAAGCAUCAAAUGUUUUCACAGUAAGAAGUUUUCACAGUAAGAAGACAUUGUAAGACCCUGAACUUUAAGGUCUUGUUGCUUUGCAGCUUUAAUCAAAAUGUGCGGGUAUAAUUGACAGUAACUUUGAAGGACUUUUGGUUAAUAAUUAUCAUAGUGCUACAAACAAGUUAACAAUUUCAAUUUAAACAUCACUGACUUCCUAUUGGAGAAGAUUUUGUGAUUUUUGUAUCAGUAAGCUGAUACUCUGUCUACUAUUGUAUGCUUUUGAAAAAAAACAGUUUUGUCAAAGAAGACAAUGUUCACUUUAAUUAAUAGUUUAUUUACAAAUCGUAUUGAGAAAUUGAUCAGUAUUAAAUGCAUGACAUCUCUUGUAUACAUGGAAUGAAAGAAUGUGUGGUUUUUUAACCUAAAAAAAAAUGAUAACAUUCCAAACUGUUACAUUAAGAAAAUAAAUACCAAUUAUUUUACACCAAAUAUAAAUUAAAUAUAUAUAAUCGGAAAAAAUGACAAGAAGAUAUCAUGUAUUGAAAUCAGUUUUAAGGUUGGUAUUUGUUUAGUUGUAAAUUUAAUCAAAUACUAAAUAGUCCUUAAAUGAUGUAUUCAUUUUUAUCAGUUUUGUUUUUUUCAUGAAUUUUUUAAAAUGAUGCAAUAAGUUAAUGAAUAAGUGACAUUGCCAACAAAACUAGUAUUCAAAAAUUAGAUCAACUACAAGAACAUUUAUAAAUCUUUUUUUUAAAUGAGAGGUAUUUGCCUGAUGAAUUGCAGAUAUUUUUUAAUUCAAAAAGCAGUUUUUAUCAUCAACUUCACAACAGUUAAAGAGUGUCAAAAUUAAACAUUUCAAGAAGAUUUGACAUAGAUUUUACUGUCUAUAACAGUCUUUCCUUUAUGAAACACUAUAUUAAACAACAAUUUUUCAAGGUCAAACAGUUUUCUCUACAACUUUACAGAAAACAUUUAAAAAUGAACUAUAUACAGUCUAUAGUACUAUGACCAAUGUCUAGUUGACAUAUCAGGAUUAUGUGUAUUAAGUGUAGUAGCUAUAUUUGUUUUGUGAAUGUAUGUAAUUGUUAAGAAGAACAAAGAAAUUUUUAUUUACAAGAAAUCUUACAUAUUCUUAUUGAGCCUAUGAUAUUAAAUAAAGAAAUACAAUUUUA